GGCGAAAGCCUGAUCGAGCGACGCCGCGUGAGCGAUGAAGGCCCUAGUGGUUGUAAAGCUCUGUCAGAUUGGGACGAAAACCUGGCGGUCAAUACCCGCCAGGCUUGACGGUACCUUCAGAGGAAGCACCGGCUAACUACGUGCCAGCAGCCGCGGUAACACGUAGGGUGCGAGCGUUGUUCGGAUUCACUGGGUAUAAAGGGUGUGUAGGCGGCCUGGUAAGUCAGAGGUGAAAUCUGCCGGCUCAACCGACAAAUUGCCUCUGAAACUGCUUGGCUUGAGUCCGAGAGAGGAAGGUGGAAUUCCUGGUGUAGCGGUGAAAUGCGUAAAUAUCAGGAGGAACACCGGUGGCGAAGGCGGCCUUCUGGCUCGGUACUGACGCUGAGGCACGAAAGCCAGGGGAGCGAACGGGAUUAGAUACCCCGGUAG
rnacentral:rRNA from 1 species